AGUUCCAAUGAUCACCAAAAUCAUCCAACACCUGUAUAUAGUGGGCACCUACAUUGUAUUAAAAUAUAAUGAUUCUGAGAAAAAGCAUAUCCAAACAGUUCACCAAAACAAAAAACUGGAUUUUUUCACAUUUGUUCUGUUUCCAUGGAAACGGUAGCCAUCUUGAACCAUUCCAUGCUUCCUGCAACUCUGCACAUGGGG
rnacentral:lncRNA from 1 species